rnacentral:rRNA from 1 species
UGGGGAAUCUUCCGCAAUGGGCGCAAGCCUGACGGAGCAACGCCGCGUGAGUGAAGAAGGGUUUCGACUCGUAAAGCUCUGUUGUCGGGGACGAAUGUGGAGAUGGUGAAUAACCAUUUCUAAUGACGGUACCUGACGAGGAAGCCACGGCUAACUACGUGCCAGCAGCCGCGGUAAUACGUAGGUGGCGAGCGUUGUCCGGAAUUAUUGGGCGUAAAGGGAGCGCAGGCGGGAGGUCAAGUCUAUCUUAAAAGUGCGGGGCUCAACCCCGUGAGGGGAUGGAAACUGGUCUUCUUGAGUGCAGGAGAGGAAAGCGGAAUUCCUAGUGUAGCGGUGAAAUGCGUAGAUAUU